rnacentral:rRNA from 1 species
UACGUAGGGAGCGAGCGUUGUCCGGAUUCAUUGGGCGUAAAGAGCGCGCAGGCGGUUUGGUAAGUCGGGUUUGAAAUCCCGGGGCUCAACCCCGGACCUGCAUCCGAUACUGCCCGACUAGAGGUAGGUAGGGGAGAUCGGAAUUCCUGGUGUAGCGGUGAAAUGCGCAGAUAUCAGGAGGAACACCGGUGGCGAAGGCGGAUCUCUGGGCCUUACCUGACGCUCAGGCGCGAAAGCUAGGGGAGCGAACAGG